rnacentral:rRNA from 1 species
GCAUAUCAAUAAGCGGAGGAAAAGAAACCAACAGGGAUUGCCUCAGUAACGGCGAGUGAAGCGGCAACAGCUCAAAUUUGAAAUCUGGCCCUUUCAGGGUCCGAGUUGUAAUUUGUAGAGGAUGUUUCGGGCGUGGCUCCGGUCUAAGUUCCUUGGAACAGGACGUCAUAGAGGGUGAGAAUCCCGUAUGUGACUGGUAGCCUAUGCCCAUGUGAAACUCCUUCGACGAGUCGAGUUGUUUGGGAAUGCAGCUCAAAAUGGGUGGUAAAUUUCAUCUAAAGCUAAAUAUUGGCCAGAGACCGAUAGCGCACAAGUAGAGUGAUCGAAAGAUGAAAAGCACUUUGGAAAGAGAGUUAAACAGUACGUGAAAUUGUUGAAAGGGAAGCGCUUGCAACCAGACUUGCACGUGGCCGAUCAACCGGUGUUCUCACCGGUGCACUCGGUUGCGUUCAGGCCAGCAUCGGUUUCGACGGUUGGAUAAAGGCCCCGGGAAUGUAGCUUCUUUCGGGGAGUGUUAUAGCCCGGGGUGCAAUGCAGCCUGUUGGGACCGAGGACCGCGCUUCGGCUAGGAUGCUGGCGUAAUGGUUGUAAGCGACCCGUCUUGAAACACGGACCAAGGAGUCUAACAUCUAUGCGAGUGUUUGGGUGUCAAACCCAUACGCGUAAUGAAAGUGAACGGAGGUGAGAACCCUUAAGGGUGCAUCAUCGACCGAUCCUGAUGUCUUCGGAUGGAUUUGAGUAAGAGCAUAGCUGUUGGGACCCGAAAGAUGGUGAACUAUGCCUGAAUAGGGUGAAGCCAGAGGAAACUCUGGUGGAGGCUCGCAGCGGUUCUGACGUGCAAAUCGAUCGUCAAAUUUGGGUAUAGGGGCGAAAGACUAAUCGAACC